GAUGAACGCUGGCGGCGUGCUUAACACAUGCAAGUCGAACGGGAUCCAUCAGGCUUUGCUUGGUGGUGAGAGUGGCGAACGGGUGAGUAAUGCGUGACCGACCUGCCCCAUACACCGGAAUAGCUCCUGGAAACGGGUGGUAAUGCCGGAUGCUCCAGUUGAUCGCAUGGUCUUCUGGGAAAGCUUUCGCGGUAUGGGAUGGGGUCGCGUCCUAUCAGCUUGACGGCGGGGUAACGGCCCACCGUGGCUUCGACGGGUAGCCGGCCUGAGAGGGCGACCGGCCAUCUUGGGACUGAGAUACGGCCCAGACUCCUACGGGAGGCAGCAGUGGGGAAUAUUGCACAAUGGGCGCAAGCCUGAUGCAGCGACGCCGCGUGAGGGAUGGAGGCCUUCGGGUUGUAAACCUCUUUUAUCGGGGAGCAAGCGAGAGUGAGUUUACCUGUUGAAUAAGCACCGGCUAACUACGUGCCAGCCGCCGCAGUAAAAC
rnacentral:rRNA from 1 species